UACAGAGGUCCCAAGCGUUGUUCGGAUUCAUUGGGCGUAAAGGGUGCGUAGGUGGCGCCGUAAGUGGGGUGUGAAAUUUCGGAGCUUAACUCCGAAACUGCAUUCCAUACUGCGGUGCUUGAGGACUGGAGAGGAGACUGGAAUUCAUGGUGUAGCAGUGAAAUGCGUAGAGAUCAUGAGAAAGACCAGUGGCGAAGGCGGGUCUCUGGACAGUUCCUGACACUGAGGCACGAAGGCUAGGGGAGCGAACGGG
rnacentral:rRNA from 1 species